CGGUGCCUGUCUUCUGUGCCGCUCGGAGGUCGCUGGGCGUGCGUCGGGCGGCGGCGAGCCGGGCCGGAGCCGGAGUCCGUUUCAUUCUGGGCGGGAAGUGGGCGUGGGCGGCAGGCGGGGGCUGCCCGGAAUUGUAGAGCCCAGCCGGCGGCGCCCUCCCAGCGGCGGAGUGAACGUUGGUGGGUAGGAACGCCGCGGCGGCAGCCGCGCCCGCCCCUAGGUGAUCGAGCCGCGGCGGCCAGGCCUCCACCGCGGCCGCCCGAGGCCGUCCAAGGCCACGUGGGCGGCGGGAUGAGUCGGCGGCCCUCGGGACGGAGUUGCUGGGCGAACCGCGAGCCAGCACGUGCAGCGAAAGUGGCUGGGUUGCGGCUCUGGGCGCCGACACUUAAAAGCACAUAGGAGGUGCCCCGGCAAGUGUUCGUUCUCUCCAAACCUCAGGAGCAUGGUAGGAAUAACUCACAUUAACCGUCACCUCUGAAGUCAGACUUUACCCUCCCCUGACGUUGAUUUUGAUGAAUGAAUAAAGUUACCUUGGGAAAGUUUUUGAGUUUCUUCGUCUUGUCUCGUGGUCUUGACACUUUUGAAGAGCACUGGGCAGAUAUGUUUAGAACGAACCUCAAAUUGAGUCUUUCUGAUGUUUCCUUCCUCACAAGUAGGUGGGGCUCGUGGAUUUAGGGGAACAAUACCAAAGAAUUAGAUUUGAAUGUGCUUACAAUGUACUUCAGAGCUGUGACUCUGUGCUCUGGCUCGUGGAAGUGAGAGCCUGAAAGGGAGAGAGAGCCUGGCUGGAGCAAAGCAGGUUGAUGUGACGUAACAGGUGGUCCAGAAACGUGAUGAGAAGAGCUGAGAGUUGGAGGGAUUAAUGAUGACUACAUCAAGUGAAAAAGAUGAUCUUUUACAAAUUGAAACGAUAGAUCUCGUUUCUGAAGAUGAAGAAAAAGUGAGAUAUAUCCUCCUAAACCAGCUCUCCAGGAAUCCAUUAACACAGUAAUCCCAGCGUAUCUGGAGGAGUUGAGGAAGCACCAGAUAAAUACUGAAAAGCACGAAAGGUGCACAAUCUUAGGUACAUGAGUACAGAAGAUAAAGUUUGUCAUGUACACUCAUAUCCAAGAAAUGGAAUUUGGUUUGAAAAUCCUAGAGGAUGCCCUAAGAAUGCAUAAGAGAAUGAUAGAUCCUGUUAAAGAAAAAAACAUCAGGAGAAACAGCAGAAUUUCUCCACCUCUAUUUGGAAUCUAUAGAAGAAAUUAAGGAACAAAACAAUGAUGAAGAAACCAUUUCACCAGCUUCAGGACUUGUGGUGUAUUUUAUGACAAGUCUUAACUUCGUAAUAAGUAGUGGCAGUUAAUUUUCCUUCUUAUACUGCUGAUUAUUUAUAUGUCUUUAGUGACUACCUGCUAUUCUAACUGAAUGAAGCUUAGAAUUCUAGGAGUCCCUCCUCAUUUUUCAGGCUGAAAUUUCUGAAGCCAUGUUAACAUAGUACAUAGAGUGAAAUUUCAGGGCCUAAAGCUCUUAAUUAUAUAUGCUUUGAAAAGAAAUUUUUAAAAGAAUUCUAAUGAGAAUCUGAACCUGACUUUCAGUGUACUUUCUUGGAUCAUCUAUCUCCUUGGAGAGGUAGUAACCUUCAUUCAGAGCGAUGUUUUAUUAGGAUUCUCAAUUUUCAAAGCGGGCGUCAGACUUCUGAAUUGUUUGAUAAUGUGUGAGUCUCUAAAUGACAACACAGAAAAUCUAUAGUUCAGGUAAUGGUCAAGCAUAAAAUAUUAACUCACUGUUUGCUGAGAUGUUGUCAGUGUCCUAGCUGAGAGAAGAAAUGUUUUGGGAAGACUGACUAGAGAACUUAUGCUCUAUAGUGAUGCUGGGGUGUGCUGUCCAGACCCCCCGUAGGCCUGCGGAGCUCAUUUCCGCCGCUGCCCACACUCAUGGCUGCUGACGGCUCGUGGUCCCCUCCAGGAAUUGCCCUCAGCGGAAGCCGCUUUGCCCGAGGUUGCACCACCUCCCUGAGACAGCUUGCAGCAGUUACUGGUUGUGGUGGGGCACAGACCUCCUUCCCUCACCUCUGAAGCUCCCUCUGGGCCUGACUGAGGCUUCGCCAGCAGCCGCAUCGUGGUUCACCUUCUGCCAGCUUUACUUCCCCAGUGGCCUUUCAGGUGCUGCUCCUGAGUACAAUCCUUAAAAAAUCUCCGGCAUGCAGAUUGCCCCCCAGAUGCUAUUUCCAGAGAACCUGAGCUAAGACGUACUCCAGAUACUCUUUCAGAUAUUUCAACUCAAUCCCUGGGUCGAGCUAGAUCAUAAGAAAGAGAGCUUCUCAUUGCCUCAGAAACAAAGUCCAAAUUCCUUUGUGUGACAUUCCAGGCCUGUCACCAGCCUCUGAGCCCUGAGUCCAUCUGUUCCUUCUGUGCUCUGACAUGUACUUGUGCGGUAGAGACCUUGCAAACUUUCCUUCCUAGACUCCCUCGGCAGCUGGUUUCUAGCGGCUUCUGCCAAUGAGAUACUAAUGAAAAACAGGCAGAUGGGGGUAGAGGAAGAGAGACUCCCUUGUUCUCCAUCGUAUCAGUAUCCCUGCAGCAGCAGCAGUCGGCUGUGGAAGAGUGUCUUCAGUGGCACCAUCACCCACCGGGCAAAGCCUCCUCUUCAGUCUCAGCACCAGCCCUCAGACCCCACUCCACAGCCCUGACACCUGCGAAGGGUCCGUUCCCUGUGAUUCCAGCACUGCACGUGGCACCGCCUCGGCUCCCCAGUGGAUCCAGCACCAGGCAGAGGACUCCUCCUCUGAGAGCCAGCCGAGGUGGCACGUCCCCAUAGUUCUGGUCUGUGGUGACACCACCUAGUCUCUUUAUUCCUCCAGUUUUAGGGGUGGUAGGUGCUUCCUGCAGUUACUAAUUUCUGGAUUUCUUUUCUAUGUAAAUUUUUUUCCUAGUUUUAUUGAGAUAUGAUUGACAUACAGCACUGUAGAAGUUUAAGGUGUACAGCAUAAUGACUUGACUCACA